GAUGAAGAACGCAGCGAAAUGCGAUAAGUAAUGUGAAUUGCAGAAUUCAGUGAAUCAUCGAAUCUUUGAACGCACAUUGCGCCCGCCAGUAUUCUGGCGGGCAUGCCUGUUCGAGCGUCAUUUCAACCAUCAAGCCCCCGGGCUUGUGUUGGGGACCUGCGGCUGCCCGCAGGCCCUGAAAACCAGUGGCGGGCUCGCUGUCACACCGAGCGUAGUAGCAUAUCAUCUCGCUCUGGGCGUGCUGCGGGUUCCGGCCGUUAAAGCCUUUUUUUUUACCCAAGGUUGACCUCGGAUCAGGUAGGAAGACCCGCUGAACUUAAGCAUAUCAAAAGCGGAGGA
rnacentral:misc_RNA from 1 species